CAGUCGCCGCGGUAAUACGUAGGUGGCAAGCGUUGUCCGGAAUUAUUGGGCGUAAAGGGCUCGCAGGCGGUCUCUUAAGUCUGAUGUGAAAGCCCCCGGCUCAACCGGGGAGGGUCAUUGGAAACUGGGAAACUUGAGUGCAGAAGAGGAGAGUGGAAUUCCACGUGUAGCGGUGAAAUGCGUAGAGAUGUGGAGGAACACCAGUGGCGAAGGCGACUCUCUGGUCUGUAACUGACGCUGAGGAGCGAAAGCGUGGGGAGCGAACAGGAUUAGAUACCCCCGUAGUCCCUGUCUCUUAUAC
rnacentral:rRNA from 1 species